GUGCACCAGUCGAGAAUAGUCUACAAUGGACGAAAGUCUGAUAGUGCGACGCCGUGUGUGCGAUUAAUUCCUUCGGGAUGUAAAGCACUUUUCUAUGAGAUAAAAGCUCUUUAGGUUAAUAGCUUAUUGAGACGGAUAUUAUUAUAGGAAUAAGCUCCGGCUAACUCCGUGCCAGCAGCCGCGGUAAUACGGAAGGAGCGAGCGUUGUCCGGAUUUACUAGGCGUAAAGGGCUAGUAGGCGACUAAUUAAGUAUAUGUUAAAUCCCACGGCUCAACUGUGGUCCUGCAUGUAAUACUGGUUAGAUAGAGUACUGUAGAGGAAGGCAGAAUUCCUGGAGUAGCGGUGGAAUGCGCAGAUAUCAGGAAGAAUACCAAAAGCGAAG
rnacentral:rRNA from 1 species